CUGUGCCUGCAAAAGGCUCAGGCCUGGAGGGACAUGGGAAUCUGAGCGAGUUAGUCAGCAGGGAGCUCCAGGCUGGCACUUCCUUACUUCUCCAGUCCCCUAAAUUCCCAAGCAUAGCCUGUCCUUCCUCCCUGAGGCCCUGACCGGACAUAUGAGGUAAACCAGUACCUAACAAGAUAAUUCAGACAAGUAAGUCGUCUGGAAAAGGAAUCCCAGGAGAAUUUGAGAGAGGAUGAUCAGAUUGGGAGUCCUGAUUUAGAUGAUCAAGGAAGGCCUCUGCAAGGCGUUAUCUCAGCCCAGACCUACAUAAGAAGGGGGCCCCAAGCACAGGAAGCUCUGGGAGCAGAGGCAGGAGCUGGCAUGUUUCCAGGACUCUGUGUGCCUGGAGGGGAGUGUGUGGAGGGAGGAGAGAGAGGCGUGGAGUCAGGCGGGAGCCGGCUCACGUGGGCCCUCUGGGCCUGGGAGGAGUUUAGAUUUUAGUCUAAGCCCAAAAGGACACCAUGGGAGGAUGUAAGCAGGUUGGUGACAAGGUCCAAAAUACCUUUACGAAAGUUCUUUCCAGUUUGAAAGUUGUUUCCGGUUCUUUCCCUUCUUUGGAGAACGGAUCGAUCGUCAGCAGGCGAGAACAGAGGCAGGCAGACAGGUAAGAAGUGGAUUUCUUUAGAGAGGUACACAUUCCAUAGACAGAAUGCGGUCCAUCUCAAAAGAACUGGAAUGGCAGCUGAGCCACCCCAGCAGCUGACCAAGGGCGUAUCGAUUUGUGCUAGGCUCCUUGCUAAUAUCUGAGCCAGUCACACAUGAAGAUAAAGGCUCCAAAGAACUCACCCACGGUGAUCUGUCCUGCUUAAACCUCCCACGGCCAAGUCCACAAGUCUCCCCAUUGAUCAGCCAACUCUGCCCUUUCCAACCCAAGCCUGACCAUCACUCGUGGAGAGCAGUCAUGGUUCAGAACAUGAGAUCUGGAGUCAGGCAGCCCGGGUUCCAGCCCAAGGAUUACUGAGUCAAAGGGUAUUUACAUAUUUACUGUUGAGAGAUGCUGCCAAACUGCCUUCCAAAAAGUUGGACCCAUUUAUACUCCCACCAGCAGUGUAAGACAGUGCCCUUUCCCAUACUUUCUCCAUCUUUACCAAUCUGUUUCAAAACAAAACAAAACAAAACACCCUCUACUACCAUGCUUGCAUUUCUUGCACUAGCAUCUUUUCAUCUUUUUUUGGCAGUUUGAAUUUCUGUAUAUUGCCUGGCCAUAUCCUUUGUCCAUUUUUAAAUAUUUGAGUUGUCAUCUUUUUGUUAUUUAUUUGUAGUAGCUUAUUACAUAUUUGGAUAUCAACCUCUGUUGUAAAUGUUAAAGUAUUACUUCCACUUAAUCAGUGGUCACUGGACUUUGUUUAUGGUGUCUAUUUGCCUCACAGCAGCUCUUACCAAACCCCAGCUAAGAGAUAGGAAUCCACCUACUUCAGUGGAGAGAGCACUGGAUUGGGAGUCAGGAACCUGGGUUUUGAGUUCUACGUCUGUCAUUGAUUCACUGUGUGACUUUGAACCAGUCCCUGACCUCUCUUUCACUAUCUGCUAAAUAAGAGCAUUGAUUUGAGUGGUCUCUGUAGAACUGUCCACCUCCAUGGUCUAGACAAGCACUAUUAAUAGAACUUUCUGCAAUGAUGGAAAUGUUCCAUCUCUGCACUGUUCAAUAUGGUAACCACUAGCCACAUGUGGCUAUUGAGCACUUAAAAAUGUGACUAGUGUGACUGAGAAACUGAAUUUUA